rnacentral:rRNA from 1 species
AGUGAACGCUGGCGGUGGGCCUAACACAUGCAAGUCGAACGGCAGCACAGUAAGAGCUUGCUCUUACGGGUGGCGAGUGGCGGACGGGUGAGGAAUACAUCGGAAUCUACUUUUUCGUGGGGGAUAACGUAGGGAAACUUACGCUAAUACCGCAUACGACCUACGGGUGAAAGCAGGGGAUCUUCGGACCUUGCGCGAUUGAAUGAGCCGAUGUCGGAUUAGCUAGUUGGCGGGGUAAAGGCCCACCAAGGCGACGAUCCGUAGCUGGUCUGAGAGGAUGAUCAGCCACACUGGAACUGAGACACGGUCCAGACUCCUACGGGAGACAGCAGUGGGGAAUAUUGGACAAUGGGCGCAAGCCUGAUCCAGCCAUACCGCGUGGGUGAAGAAGGCCUUCGGGUUGUAAAGCCCUUUUGUUGGGAAAGAAAAGCAGCAGGUUAAUACCCCGCUGUUCUGACGGUACCCAAAGAAUAAGCACCGGCUAACUUCGUG